rnacentral:rRNA from 1 species
UACAGAGGGUGCGAGCGUUAAUCGGAAUUACUGGGCGUAAAGUGUGCGUAGACGGUUUCGUAAGUCGGGUGUGAAAGCCCCGGGCUCAACCUGGGAAUUGCAUUCGAGACUGCGAAGCUAGGGUGCGGAAGAGGGAAGCGGAAUUUCCGGUGUAGCGGUGAAAUGCGUAGAUAUCAAGAGGAACACCUGAGGUGAAGACGGGUUGCUGGGCUGACACUGACGCUGAGGCGCGAAAGCCAGGGGAGCAAACGGG